GUGGGAUUGCACUGGAUUUGUUGUUGUUGAACCUUGAUUCCUUCCAAAUCUUGUAUUUCCCCCGAAGAAGACAUUAUUUCCUUCUAAAUUUCUGCUGUCUUGAGUGCUAGAUUUUUUAUCAACUACAAACCCGAGGUUUGAAGUGAUCAAAAGUUGUGUGUUUUUUGUUUGAUCUUUUCAUUUUUUCUGGGAGGAUGCUUCCAAGAAGAGGAGCGUUAGAGUAACUGGUAAAGUUGCUGCCAUGGGACCAGCAGGUCACGAGUUCAAGCCUCGGAAACAACGUCUAGUAGAAAUGCAAGGUAAGGCUGCGUACAAUACACCCUUAUGGUGGGGCCCUUCCCCGGACCCUGAGUACAGCGGGAACGAUAGUGCACCGGGCUGCCCUUUUUAGAGGAUGUUUCCAUGCAAGAGGUUUGGGAUUUUACGGAAAACUAAUCUGAUCUUUUGCGUUGUAUUACUCAUCCUUUCUUGGAGCUUCAUUACUCUUUGCGCGAAUAACAUCUGUAGUUCUGGGAGUUUGAAACUCAUGCUUGCGGUCUCCAGAAGGACUAAAGACCACGCGGUUCAUCAGUACUUAAACAUGCUAAGUGCAGGUUUGCUACUUUAAUCCUCUGCAAGAAUUUGUUUAAUCACUUUAUGUAUUUAGUUCGUGGUGCUUUUUGCAAUUAUCAUCAGGUCUUUUCGUAGCAGGUUCAGAGUUCCAAAUUACUUUCAUUUCAGAACUCAAGCUUGGAGGUAAAAGCGAGGACAUGUAUGUACAUCUGUAAAAUAGAUACAAUAUAAAGCUAUGUUGCUCGGACUCUUCAAAAAUGUCAAUGGGUGGGUGUCGGAUACUCCACAAAUAGUGCAUUUUGGAGAAUCUUACACAUGACAAAAAGACUACUGUUUUUGAAGAGUAACACAUUUAAUGAUAAUAAUGGACUAACAUAAUCUCUCUUCUUUAUUUUUUUCCCUUUUCGUGGAAGAUCAUCUUCCUAAAAUGAGCGGUACAUCCAAUAAUUACUAAAAUGAUCUCUUUUUCUUUUCGGGGAAAAAGGAUAUCAUGUUAAUCAUUUAGAUAUUUGCUCCAUUCGGAUAGACUAGUAGGUGCAAGAGGGUGUCCUUUGAAGGAUUGAUGAGAAACUCUUGCUUGAAGCUUGCAUGCAGGAAAGUCUGUCACCGAUUUAUAGCCCAAAAUUGACUUCAAUCAGGACUAGGUUCUAUGAUCCGAGCCAAGAGGAAGAGAGAAAAAAGAACUAGACGACGGCAAUUCAAUGAUCUAUAGGACUUAAUAUCAGUAUCAAACCAAGGAAGCAGUCAAAGUGAACAAGAUGAGUCCUUCCAAAUGGAACGGUAAAUACCAUAUCUUCAUUAGAUCAAUGAUUCAUUACGUUGAUGGUAAUAUUCCAUUCGGUAUUUAUUUGCCUAUUGCAGUUGAGCACUACUAUUUACUUGUGUUUCUAUAUGUCGUCUCAUACUACAACCACAACUAAUCCAGUUUAUUCCCGUAAGUCGGGGAUCUGGGGAGCGUAGGUUGUACAGAGACCUUACCCUACCUUUCUUGUUUCAUGUCCACAUUUAAAAGGAAAAAAAAAAAAGACCUUUUCCCCCGCACUUGAAUUAAUAAAUAUCACGUAAAUCACUUUGCUAGCUCUAGAAAAGUGCCAGAUUUGACCAUGAGGGUAGCUUUAUGGCAUGCAUAAAUAUUGCAGUAACGCUUCCUUUCUCUUGUAUCCAUUUGAAAUAUUCUCUAUUAACUACUGAAAGGUUCUUGUAACCAAUGAAGAAACAAGGAAACGUGUAAAUUGCUUAAUCUUUCUGUUCCAAAUGUGGAUAGAACUGACCAUUACAGACACACAGAGAAACAUAGAACCUUCAAAUUAUGGCUAGAUUUAUUUGGUCACUGCUACAAGAAAGGAACGAGGAGCAGUGACCUUUUCUUCACUAUUUUCUGCUUUGUUUUUGUUUUUUUGUAAAAGAAAGUGAUUUUUAAUGCCUUGACAUCUGAAUGGUGAAGCAAGAAUAACUUGCUUCUGAUUACUUCCAAAGAAAAGUACAGAGGAGCUCAUUCGCGCACGCGCUCACACACACGCAAAAGCAAUAGAUUCAGUUCAACUAGCUGAAUUUAUCUUAGACCCGGGUCCGUUACUGCCGAUGCAUUUUGUUCUCUCUUGAAGGCAUCAUGUUAAGGCAUUCUUGGCCUGAUUCUUCUCAUAAACCUGUUUAAUCACCUCAACAACUUCAUUCAUCUCUUCCUUUCUCAGCAGUCUUAUAUUCUCACCAAGACUCGUCGCCUUCCUCCGCAAAUCCUCAUUUGUUGGGCACAUUUAUAUAUUAUGCUUGUGCACGUUCAAAGUUGAAGGACACAGAUGCCAGCUGUGGCCAAGUUAAAGGGCACAUUUAUAUAUUAUGCCUUUUUGAAAAAUAGGUACUAAAGAGGACUUUAUGUAUUUUCUCAUUUAUUGGCCCUGGCCUACUAAUCAGUGUAUGCAUACAGAUGUGGAAGCACAUUAAAGAUUCUGUUCAAUAAGGUCAUCUAUAACACAGGUUUUUCACUUAAAUUAUCUUACCUAGUUUGUAGUUUCAUUAUCGGUCCUAAGCCGGGGGUCUAUUGGAAACAGCCUCUCUACUUCAUCUGUGGUAGUGGUAGUGGUAUGGUCUGUGUACACUCUACCCUCCCCAGACCCCACUAUGUGGGAAUACACUGGGUAUGUUGUUGUUGUAGUUUUUAGUUUCAUGAAUGGUAUUGCUUGCAUAUGCUUGUUUAAAUUGUUUGAAUAACUUGUUUCUGACUAUGUUUGUUGCAUGUAUAUUUCGUUACUAUCAAUGCGAAUAUAUUUUAAAACGACAUAAAUAUAAACAGAACAUGUUGAAACAUCUGGAUAUGUUGUCACACUGCAACUAUACACGUGUCCGCAUGAAGCUUAGCCACGUAAUGUUCCUCCAAAAUUUUGAAAAGAAAGAGAUGCAUGUCUGAGAAAAACAUUGCAUGAGAAAAACAGUGCAUUUAUUCAGGUAUCUCAGUGUAUUAACCAGUGCAUGCAUACAGGUGUGACAGCACAUUAAAAUAUGCAUAAUACAUAAAUGUGCCUUUUAACUUUGCCUUAGCUGAUAUCUAUGCUCUCCAACUUUGAGCGUGUAAGUAGGUACUUAAACUAUCUAGGCACACACAUCCUAUGUGACAUGUCACCCGAAUCGCCACGUAGGAUGCGUGUCCACUUGUUCAACUUUCUACAAUUCCCACUCCUUGUUUGAGAUAGAAAUUGCCAAAAUAACAAAACCACUGCACUUGGAAAGGCAAAGUCUUAUUGUUGGGAUAUUGAGACUAGAUUCAACCCAUGUUGCAUUAUAUCAUACACUAACACAUCAGGCUUUUGAUCAUUCAGGAUCUGGUAAAAUUGUGGUUUUUCAUCAUGAUUGCUUUGUGUGGUAAUGAGGAGGAGGAAGUUCAAGACAAGUCUGGUAACUGGAAUUCCACUAGCUGAAUUGAAUUAAGAGUAUUUCUGUGGAACUCUUUUCAAGCUUAUAUAAAUGUGAGUUGAACACAAGUCGAAUGGAGAAGCCGCUACCUGAUUGUGCAAUAUUUUGUGUGUGUGUGUGUGUGAUUGUUUGUGCCGUGGCGCUAAAUUUAUUACUAGUAGGUUAGCACAUUGAAGUUUAGAUAUUUGAAAACUAUAUAAUAAAUACUAUAUGUUGCAAUUUUUCUCAUAUCAAUACGUGAAAUGUGAGUUUAAGUUCAUGUAGUUUGACUCUCGAAAAGCAAGACAUGCCAAGCACUCGUGACAGAGGGAAACUUAGAACCCUCAAAUAAUGGCUAGAUCUAUUUAGUCACUGCUACAAGAAAGUUGCAGAAACCAGGAACAGUGACCUUAUCUUCAUUAUUUCCUGCUUUGUUUUUGUUUUCUGUAAAAGAAAGCAGAUGAGCCGGGGGUCUACUGGAAACAGCCUCUCUACUUCUCUGGAGGUAGUGGUGGUAUGGACUGCGUACAUUUCACCCUCUCCAGACCCCACUAUAUGGGAAUACACUGGGUUUGUUGUUGUUUGUUGUUGUUGUUGUUGUAAAAGAAAGCAGAUAUUAAUGGCCUAACAUCUGAAUCAGUGAAACAAAAGAGAAACACAAGUGAGUUUAUUCAUAUCACCAUAAGAUGACAUAUGCAGAUACUGCUUAAAACAACACACACACACAAGUACAAAGGAGGUCAUUCACGCACACACACACACAAAAGCAAUAGAUUCAGUUCAACUAGUUGAAUUUAUUCUAGACCUGCCUCUGUUACUGCUGAUGCAUUUUGUUAUAUCUUGAAUGAAUCAUGUUAAGGCAUUCUUGGACUGAUUCUUCUCAUAAACCUGUUUUAUCACCUCAGCAACUUUGUCCGCCUCUUCGUCUCUUAGCAAUCUUAUAUUCUCACCAAGACUCUUCACCUUCCCCCUCAAAUCUUCCCCAAUUUUUCCACCGCAAAUCACAUUUUUAAGAGUCUCGGCUAUAUUACCUAUAUGAAGCUUCCCAUUUCCGUCUCUCGCUAUCUCCACGGCAAUUCCUUUCUCCACAGCCAUUCUAGCAUUGACAGACUGAUCUGAGCAGAAGUUCAUAGGCAAAGCUAUGAUUGGAACACCAAACAUUAUGCUUUCGAGUGUGGAAUUCCAACCACAAUGAGUUACAAAUGCUCCAAUACUCGGGUGCUUUAGAAUUCUUGCCUGUGGAGCCCAUCCUUCAACUAUCCUUCCUCUUUCUCCGAUUUUUUCACGAAAACCUCGAGGAAGUGCCUCUUCGAGGUUAACUACUUGUUCUCCUCCUUGAUACCUUACAACCCAUACGAAAUGAACAUCGCUAAGCUCUAACCCGUAAGCUAGCUCUUCUAUUUCUUUCUUUUUCAGAAUACACUCACUCCCAAACGAGACGUAAACAGUUGAAUGCUCGUUCUUCUUCCCGAGCCAUUUAAUGAGUUCUGUUUCCUCCAUAUCUUCAACAUCUUGAAAUUGAAUUGCCACUCCAGUAGGCAGGAUGUUUGUAUGGCCUAUUUCAGAAAGAUAGUCCAUGUACUUUCCAUCUAUUGCUCUAGAGCUAUUCAACAGCAUGAUUCUCUCACCUUCUUCUUCUUCCUCCACUUUAUUCACAAUGUAGCGCUCUAUCUCCUUCUCGUAAUCCUUGAGAUAGAGAGCUGGGAAAGGGAACUCCACUCCUGGUUUGAUAAAGCGAUGACCAUAGUAACAAGAACUAGCUCCACUUUCAGUGCAAAAUUUUAUCGCUGGGAUGUUGAGACUAGAUGCGACCUUUACCGCCCACGGUAGCAGGACAUCAAAUAUUAACACAUGGGGUUUUUGAUCUUUCAGGAUUUGGUAAAACUGUGGUUCUGACAUCGCGAGGGCGUUAAAGAGCACUGGUCCAAGAUGGACUGGGAGGCCAUUUGUCGUGUGGUAAUGCGGAGGAAGUUCUGGCAAGUCUGGUAAGUGAAGUUCCACUAGGUGAAUUGAACAAGAGU
rnacentral:lncRNA from 1 species